UUUACAGUGAGUCCUAUUUCU
rnacentral:piRNA from 1 species